rnacentral:lncRNA from 1 species
UUAGAAAAAAAUUAAAAAAAAUAAGGGUUCCGGCACGGUGGCGCCGCCGCCGGAACCCCCUUACCUCCAUCGGAGAAGAUGAAGAAAAUAGGAGAGAGAAGAGAGAAAACGUGUGAGGAGAGAGAAGGAAAGCUGGAAAUGAAUGAAUUCUGUGAACUACAGCCUAUAUAUAGGCCUCUUUGAUCCCAUACGCGUGGGUGUACGGCCUUGCCAUGCAUCCACGCACCCUGGUCCUUUGAUCCUUUGAUCCUGUGGUCUAUGUUGCUCCUCUGCAUGAUUGAACCAAAGCUGUCUGAUCUUAAUCAGACGGCUAAUGUUUAACCUUAUGACCCACUCCAGUUACCCGUAAACCGACCCGGUUCGCUCUGUU